ensembl:lncRNA
CAGAUGAAGCAUGGUACGGUGGUGGGCAUGUGUUGAGGAGAGGGCCGCCAGCCCCUGUGAGACUCGGAUACAAGGGAGAAGAAGCACAUCGGUCAUUUUGUUCAAUAACAUUUGUAUCUGGUUUUUCAACCAAUGUGGUUUUUGCGCAUGUCAAUUCUUUAGCCAUUUGUUUCCUUUCUCUACAUUCACAUUCAUCCUCCCACCAUUUUAACCAUUUACUUUGUUUCUCAAUGUUCUCCAAGUCUUUGCCUUUUAUCACCCUCUGAGAUUUUAUACCCUUCUCUUUUCCCUCUAAGCCUGUUCGUAACAUGUUCAGUUUUAUUCUACUGAAAGAACCAUUUGCAGGGAACCCAAAAUCUUUUGACCACUCGGGCAAAAACUCUAGAGAUUGAUCUCCAUAUUUCCUUCUCAUCAGAUCCACAAUGGGUCAAGGGUCACAAUAAUGCGACGCAAAUUGCCCCUGUCUUCCCCCUUGGUCAAGGGUCACAAUUAUGCGAUUUUCAGAUAGUUAGUCUGAAUACAAUCGUAAAUGCGCACAUUGCUCCCUGUCUUCCUCAGUAAAAAGUUGGAUGCUGAUGAACCGGAAAUACUGUACAAUUACUCUUAUAAUUUUAUACACAUUUUUCAAAUAACCGGAUAAAAAGACAAGUUAUCAUCAUUAGAAGCCCAAUCAAAUAACCGAAAUUUGGAUUUUCUAAGAAGAGAGAGAAAAAAUAAUUUAAAAAAAUCCCAAAGUACUAAAUACCCGUCUUUGUAAUCUGUUAUCACCCGUUAUAAUUCAGGAAGCCCCGUUUGAAAAUCAGAAUAUCAACUUCUUACCCGAUUCGUGUGAAAAUCUUCCUCAUCGGAUCGUGUUGAAGCCAAUCAGGUCUCUUUUGGUCGCCGGUCCCCUCUCUCUGAGUGUGAUGAGGUAUAGGGCAGAAUCACGUUUGAUGGAUCCUGAAGGGGUCCCUUCCCGGACGUCCUCGGAGUCCCGACGGAGCUUCAAACGAUCCCACUUCUGACACCAAAUUGUGGCGGAAGAUUUUGCACAGACAAUCGUUAAGUAAGAAACAAAGGCUCUGAGUCAAGUAUGUCUUUUCUCCGUUUAUUUCCUUGCAAGGGAAAAAGGGUCACAACAGCUACGUGG